GUGUGCGCGGUGAAGGACAUGCUGCGUUUCACAACAGCAACAGCAACACAGAACAAUGGGAUUUGGGGUUUCACUUUACACGCGGAUGUGAACACUACACGCACAAAGAAGAAAUCAUCAACGGUGAACGACACGGACACACGCGGAAGGAUAACCAUAGAUAAAGUUGGCUAGGAAACGAAGACCACUGAACCCGAAAGAAAGGAUAUCGUUUUGGAAAAUUGGCCACCUUCCUCACACACGAGACCGAUGCCGAGAAAAAAAAACCGAACAACGAUGCCAACCAACACCACGGGGACGAAGAUGGAAGAACAGCAGG